rnacentral:lncRNA from 1 species
UCGCUAGUAUCAAUUCAUUCAGGUCUUCUGCAUGCUCCAAAAGACUGCCACACCCCUGGCGAAAUAUUCAGUCACUGACAGCACCACCACUUGACUAGCGUUCAUAACGCUGGUCCCGGUACACGUUGAGGUAUACGAACUUGCCCAGUUUAGGAAUUAAUUUUCUAGGAUAACCAUGUCACAAACAUGAGAUGCCAGGGUACGUGGCUCUCGGUAUCAAAUCAGCAACGGAACGGAGAAUUAAAUCAUUCAUUUCCCCUGUCGCAUACCCCGUACAGGCGGACAGGUGUGUAUGUCAAUGUGGCAUGUGCAUCUGUCCAACCUUGGAAGGGAGGAGGCACAUAUCUAUGCUUUCGUGCUUCCUCUGCCUUUCUUUUCUCUGUUCAUAUCAUCUUCGCGAAGCCCAAUAUCAACAUGCAACAUGCAACCAGGACUCGACAUCCCUCAACCCGUUUUACCCAGGUGAUUCCAUACCCGGGUUGUCAUUGAUGCAGCCGUGUUACUCAAGACUACCUAUGUACGCUAUUUACGUACCUACGUACUAGUCAGCCUCGUUGCCAAUGCCAGCAAAGGGAC